rnacentral:tRNA from 1 species
GGGGGAUUAGCUCAGUGGUAGAACGCUCGCUUGGCAUGCAUGAGACCAUGAGUUCUAUCCUUGCAUCCUCUA